GAUGAACGCUAGCAGCAGGCCUAAUACAUGCAAGUCGAACGGUGUCUUCGGACAUAGUGGCGCACGGGUGCGUAACACGUAUGCAACCUACCUUACAUUGGGGGAUAGCCUUUCGAAAGGGAGAUUAAUACCGCAUAAGACAGUAGCUGGGCAUCCAGCAGCUGUUAAAGAUUUAUCGAUGUAAGCUGGGCAUGCGUCCAAUUAGCUAGUUGGUGAGGUAACGGCUCACCAAGGCAAUGAUUGGUAGGGGAACUGAGAGGUCAAUCCCCCACACGGGCACUGAGGUACGGGCCAGACUCCUACGGGAGGCAGCAGUAGGGAAUAUUGGGCAAUGGACGAAAGUCUGACCCAGCCAUGCCGCGUGCAGGAUGAAGGCGUUAUGCGUUGUAAACUGCUUUUAUACAGGAAGAAACGACUCUUGCGAGAGGCAUUGACGGUACUGUAUGAAUAAGCACCGGCUAACUCCGUGCCAGCCGCCGCCGUAACAC
rnacentral:rRNA from 1 species